UCCUGAGAUAGAGUCUCAUGCUGUACCUACUGAGCCAGCCAGGCACCCUGAUCUUUGAAUUUUUGAAAAGGAGUUGAGAUGAUAAGGAUAAAGACAAAGUGCCCCAUGCUUCAUUUAGGCCACCCUUUCAGAAUUCCAGUUACAUGCAGUUCUCACUGAACUCAGAUGUUCUCAAGGUAACUUGUGAAAAGGCUUCCCUCUUAGGCCUCAGUCAUGGAGAUGAAGUACAAGAGCAGGAAAUCUGAGUGACCAUGAUCCCUAAAGUGAUUGAAAUUUUGCAUGUGUGUCUGUGUGGCAUUUUUCUGCUGGAGGGUUACCAGUUGUAAUUAGAAGAUUAAGUUGGUCCUAGCCCAACAACAACAAAAAAUACUGUGAGGAAAGAGGCAAGGCGUAGCUCAGAGCCAGAGAAUAAAUUUACAUAGAGUAAAUCUGAAGUCAGAUCAUGUCAGUUCCCAGCAUUUAAUUCUCCAUUGGCUUCCCAUCACCCGCAUGAAAAAAAUCCAGACUCCUGGGUAUGACAGUGGAAAGCAAGACAACAAAAGAAAAAUAGGUAAAUGGUAAAAAAGUAGGCAAAAGACCACAAUAGACAUUUCUUCAGAGAAGAUACACAGAUGGAUGGCCAAUAAGCUCAUGCAAACAUGCUCAAUGAUCCUAAUCAUUAGGGGACUGCACAUCAAAACCAAAGGGCGAUACUGCUUCAUACCCAGUUGUGUGACUAUAUUCAAAAAAGGGGUAUGGCUCAGAAAAGAACAAGCCCUGGAGAAUGGGGUGUAACUAAAAGUAUUGUGCACUGCCCCAAGCACUGUAAAUGGUGCAUUCCCAUAAAAAAAAAGUUAGUGAUUUCUUUAAAAAAGUAAACAUAGAAUUAUGGUGGGUACAUACCCCAAGAAAUUGUAAACAGGAAAGUGAUCAGGUAUUUUUACAUUUUCUAAAUCUCCUGGUUAAUUCACUGUCUUUGAUCAGCAACAUGUUGAACAGUGAUCACUCCUUACUUUAAACAUGUUUUUUCAUGGCUAUGAAAAAUCUUAUCUAUCAUCGGUGCGUCUGUUUCAAUUUUCUUCUCUCCACCCUCUGCUGAUUUUUCCUUAACUCCCUGCUCUCUGAUUGGAAGAGCACCCCACAGAAUAGUCAUGGACCUCUUCUCUUCUCUAUACCCAGUGACUUUCCAUGUGACCAUAUAUCAUUGCUUUAAAUACCUAGGGGUCUCCCAGAUUCACACUCCAUCUUAGACCUCUGCCCUGAACGGUUUGUGUUGUCCACUUGUCUCCUUGACAUCUCUGCUGGGACAUCUCCACCUUACGGUGUCCAAACAUGACCUCCUGAACUCCUCCAGUUGUGUUCCUUGCAGUCCUCCACCUCCCAGAAAAGAGCAGUGCCAUCUUCCUGGAGCUUUGGAUUGACGUCUCAAGACCCAUCUUGCCUGGCAGAGAAGCCCAGAGGAGGGAGAGGAGGAAAGCCCAGAGAGUCAGGAAUGACUCAUUCUCAGGAACUGUUGACCUUCAGGGAUGUGGCCAUAGAAUUCUCUCAGGAGGAGUGGGAGUGCCUGGA